rnacentral:rRNA from 1 species
AUUGAACGCUGGCGGCAGGCCUAACACAUGCAAGUCGAACGCGUGGCGGGCGUGUGUGUAAUGUCUGGGAAACCCCCCUAUGGGGGGGUAUCACUUCUGGACAGUGUCGCUAAUACCACAUCCCCUCUGAUAUCCCCAUAUGGGAUUAGCGAGUAGGUGGGGUAAAGGCUCCCCGAGGCGCCUAGCCCUAGCUGGUCUGAGAGGAUGACCAGCCACACUGGAACUGAGACACGGUCCAGACUCCUACGGGAGGCAGCAGUGGGGAAUAUUGCACAAUGGGCGCAAGCCUGAUGCAGCCAUGCCGCGUGUGUGAAGAAGGCCUUCGGGUUGUAAAGUACUUUCAGCGGGGAGGCGUUACCCGCAGAAGAAGCACCGGCUAACUCCGUGCCAGCCGCCGCGGUAAUAC